GGUCUGUAGGUGUUGUGGCAGCACACGUCCUUGGUAAGGACGAGGCUCGGGUUCGACUCCCGAACGGACCU
rnacentral:tRNA from 1 species